GACACCAAAUCCUUUCUCAUGGCACUUCUAGCGAUCUGCAAACUGCAAAUGGUAGCGGGUUGCACUUGAGGUCAAUACAUGAGAUGGAGCCUUGGAGGGCUAAACCUGGGAUUGUAUUUGUUAUCUGUCCUACCUGUUAUUUACCUCAUGGUAAUCAUGUGUGCUGAAGAUGAUGACUGCAAAAUAAUUUAGGCUGAUGCGGUAUAUUUAGCAUACAUGAUUUCUGUUGAGCAUUGAGGAGAACUUCUAUCAAGAAUGAGCUUCAAUUUUUUUCCUUUGAUAAGUUAUUGUGAUUUUUUGUUAAGGGCUGUUAAUUACUCCUGCAAAAAAAAAAAAAAAAAAAAAAAA
rnacentral:misc_RNA from 1 species